rnacentral:rRNA from 1 species
AGAGUUUGAUCAUGGCUCAGAGCGAACGCUGGCGGCAGGCCUAAUACAUGCAAGUCGAGCGCCGUAGCAAUACGGAGCGGCAGACGGGAGAGUAACACGUGGGAACGUACCCUUCAGUUCGGAACAACCCAGGGAAACUUGGGCUAAUACCGGAUACGUCCGUAAGGAGAAAGAUUUAUCGCUGAAGGAUCGGCCCGCGUCUGAUUAGCUUGUUGGUGAGGUAACGGCUCACCAAGGCGACGAUCAGUAGCUGGUCUGAGAGGAUGAUCAGCCUCACUGGGACUGAGACACGGCCCAGACUCCUACGGGAGGCAGCAGUAGGGAAUAUUGGACAAUGGGCGCAAGCCUGAUCCAGCCAUGCCGCGUGGGUGAUGAAGGCCCUAGGGUUGUAAAGCCCUUUCGGCGGGGAAGAUAAUGACGGUACCCGCAGAAGAAGCCCCGGCUAACUUCGUGCCAGCAGCCGCGGUAAUACGAAGGGGGCUAGCGUUGCUCGGAAUCACUGGGCGUAAAGCGCACGUAGGCGGCUUUUUAAGUCAGGGGUGAAAUCCUGGAGCUCAACUCCAGAACUGCCUUUGAUACUGAGAGGCUCGAGUCCGGGAGAGGUGAGUGGAACUGCGAGUGUAGAGGUGAAAUUCGUAGAUAUUCGCAAGAACACCAGUGGCGAAGGCGGCUCACUGGCCCGGUACUGACGCUGAGGUGCGAAAGCGUGGGGAGCAAACAGGAUUAGAUACCCUCGUAGUCC